AUUGAACGCUGGCGGCAGGCCUUACACAUGCAAGUCGAACGGAGCGGCGGACGGGUGCGUAAUGCCUAGGAAUCUGCCUGGUAGUGGGGGAUAACGUCCGGUAACGGGCGCUAAUUCCGCUUCCUAUCAGAUGAGCCUAGGUCGGAUUAGCUAGUUGGUGGGGUAAAGGCCUACAAAGGCGACGACCCGUAACUGGUUUGGGAGGAAGAUCAGUCACACUGGGACUGAGACACGGUCCAGACUCCUACGGGAGGCAGCAGUGGGGAAUAUUGGACAAUGGGCGAAAGCCUGAUCCAGCCAUGCCGCGUGUGUGAAGAAGGUCUUCGGAUUGUAAAGCACUUUAAGUUGGGAGGCGGUACCAGCAGAAUAAGCACCGGCUAACUACGUGCCAGCAGCCGCGGUAAUUC
rnacentral:rRNA from 1 species